CGGGACACGUGGUAUCCUGUCUGAAUAUGGGGGGACCAUCCUCCAAGGCUAAAUACUCCUGACUGACCGAUAGUGAACCAGUACCGUGAGGGAAAGGCGAAAAGAACCCCGGCGAGGGGAGUGAAAAAGAACCUGAAACCGUGUACGUACAAGCAGUGGGAGCACAGAGCAAUCUGUGUGACUGCGUACCUUUUGUAUAAUGGGUCAGCGACUUAUAUUCUGUAGCAAGGUUAACCGAAUAGGGGAGCCGAAGGGAAACCGAGUCUUAACUGGGCGUUAAGUUGCAGGGUAUAGACCCGAAACCCGGUGAUCUAGCCAUGGGCAGGUUGAAGGUUGGGUAACACUAACUGGAGGACCGAACCGACUAAUGUUGAAAAAUUAGCGGAUGACUUGUGGCUGGGGGUGAAAGGCCAAUCAAACCGGGAGAUAGCUGGUUCUCCCCGAAAGCUAUUUAGGUAGCGCCUCGUGAAUUCAUCUCCGGGGGUAGAGCACU
rnacentral:rRNA from 1 species